rnacentral:rRNA from 1 species
AUUGAACGCUGGCGGCAGGCCUAACACAUGCAAGUCGAGCGGAUGAAGGGAGCUUGCUCCUGGAUUCAGCGGCGGACGGGUGAGUAAUGCCUAGGAAUCUGCCUGGUAGUGGGGGAUAACGUCCGGAAACGGGCGCUAAUACCGCAUACGUCCUGAGGGAGAAAGUGGGGGAUCUUCGGACCUCACGCUAUCAGAUGAGCCUAGGUCGGAUUAGCUAGUUGGUGGGGUAAAGGCCUACCAAGGCGACGAUCCGUAACUGGUCUGAGAGGAUGAUCAGUCACACUGGAACUGGGACACCGUCCCGACCCCUACGGGAGGCAGCAGUGGGGAAUAUUGGACAAUGGGCGAAAGCCUGAUCCAGCCAUGCCGCGUGUGUGAAGAAGGUCUUCGGAUUGUAAAGCACUUUAAGUUGGGAGGAAGGGCAGUAAGUUAAUACCUUGCUGUUUUGACGUUACCAACAGAAUAAGCACCGGCUAACUUCGUG